rnacentral:rRNA from 1 species
CUAAUACAUGCAAGUCGAACGCGUCUCCGUUGAUGAUUUUAGGUGCUUGCACUUGAAAGAUUUAACAUUGAGACGAGUGGCGAACUGGUGAGUAACACGUGGGUAACCUGCCCUUGAAGUAGGGGAUAACACUUGGAAACAGGUGCUAAUACCGUAUAACAACCAAAACCACCUGGUUUUGGUUUAAAAGACGGCUUCGGCUGUCACUUUAGGAUGGACCCGCGGCGUAUUAGCUUGUUGGUAAGGUAACGGCCUACCAAGGCGAUGAUACGUAGCCGACCUGAGAGGGUAAUCGGCCACAUUGGGACUGAGACACGGCCCAAACUCCUACGGGAGGCAGCAGUAGGGAAUCUUCCACAAUGGACGAAAGUCUGAUGGAGCAACGCCGCGUGAGUGAUGAAGGGUUUCGGCUCGUAAAACUCUGUUGUUGGAGAAGAACAGGUGUCAGAGUAACUGUUGACAUCUUGACGGUAUCCAACCAGAAAGCCACGGCUAACUACGUGCCAGCAGCCGCGGUAAUACGUAGGUGGCAAGCGUUGUCCGGAUUUAUUGGGCGUAAAGCGAGCGCAGGCGGUUUUUUAGGUCUGAUGUGAAAGCCUUCGGCUUAACCGGAGAAGUGCAUCGGAAACCGGGAGACUUGAGUGCAGAAGAGGACAGUGGAACUCCAUGUGUAGCGGUGAAAUGCGUAGAUAUAUGGAAGAACACCAGUGGCGAAGGCGGCUGUCUGGUCUGUAACUGACGCUGAGGCUCGAAA